AUUGAACGCUGGCGGCAGGCCUAACACAUGCAAGUCGAACGAGUGGCGGACGGGUGAGUAAUGUCUGGGAAACUGCCCGGUGGAGGGGGAUAACUAAUGGAAACGGUAGCUAAUACCGCAUACCAUUGGAUGUGCCCAGGUUGGAUUAGCUAGUAGGCGGGGUAACGGCUCACCUAGGCGACGAUCCGUAGCUGGUCUGAGAGGAUGAACAGCCACACUGGAACGGAGACACGGUACAGACUCCUACGGGAGGCAGAAGUGGGGAAUAUUGGACAAUGGGCGCAAGCCUGAUGCAGCCAUACCGCGUGUGUGAAGAAGGCCAUCGGGUUGUAAAGUACUGUCAGCGAGGAGGCGUUACUCGCAGAAGAAGCACCGGCUAACUCCGUGCCAGCAGCCGCGGUAAUUC
rnacentral:rRNA from 1 species